UUUUUUCCUUUUUGGGGGUUUUUUUAGAUUUUUUUACUCCGCUCAGGACGAACGCUGGCGGCGUGCUUAACACAUGCAAGUCGAACGAUGAACCACUUCGGUGGGGAUUAGUGGCGAACGGGUGAGUAACACGUGGGCAAUCUGCCCUGCACUCUGGGACAAGCCCUGGAAACGGGGUCUAAUACCGGAUACUGAUCCUCGCAGGCAUCUGCGAGGUUCGAAAGCUCCGGCGGUGCAGGAUGAGCCCGCGGCCUAUCAGCUAGUUGGUGAGGUAACGGCUCACCAAGGCGACGACGGGUAGCCGGCCUGAGAGGGCGACCGGCCACACUGGGACUGAGACACGGCCCAGACUCCUACGGGAGGCAGCAGUGGGGAAUAUUGCACAAUGGGCGAAAGCCUGAUGCAGCGACGCCGCGUGAGGGAUGACGGCCUUCGGGUUGUAAACCUCUUUCAGCAGGGAAGAAGCGAAAGUGACGGUACCUGCAGAAGAAGCGCCGGCUAACUACGUGCCAGCAGCCGCGGUAAUACGUAGGGCGCAAGCGUUGUCCGGAAUUAUUGGGCGUAAAGAGCUCGUAGGCGGCUUGUCACGUCGGUUGUGAAAGCCCGGGGCUUAACCCCGGGUCUGCAGUCGAUACGGGCAGGCUAGAGUUCGGUAGGGGAGAUCGGAAUUCCUGGUGUAGCGGUGAAAUGCGCAGAUAUCAGGAGGAACACCGGUGGCGAAGGCGGAUCUCUGGGCCGAUACUGACGCUGAGGAGCGAAAGCGUGGGGAGCGAACAGGAUUAGAUACCCUGGUAGUCCACGCCGUAAACGGUGGGCACUAGGUGUGGGCAACAUUCCACGUUGUCCGUGCCGCAGCUAACGCAUUAAGUGCCCCGCCCUGGAGAGCCCACUGG
rnacentral:rRNA from 1 species